UACGGAGGGUGCAAGCGUUAUCCGGAUUCACUGGGUUUAAAGGGUGUGUAGGCGGGUAUUUAAGUCAGUGGUGAAAUCUCCAGGCUCAACCUGGAAACUGCCAUUGAUACUAUUAUCUUGAAUCCUGUUGAGGUGGGCGGAAUAUAUCAUGUAGCGGUGAAAUGCUUAGAUAUGAUAUAGAACACCGAUUGCGAAGGCAGCUCACUAAACAGGCAUUGACGCUGAGGCACGAAAGCGUGGGGAUCAAACAGG
rnacentral:rRNA from 1 species